CUGUUCCUUCGGGGAUUUGCGUAAAUCAAUAUCGGUGGUAGAGCCCAUCCGUCUUCUCUCGAAAAUAGGCGGAAAAGCGAGUCCACGAGUUCCGUGCAUUCGGGACACGACUGCGGUUUAAUCCCGCGACCGACCGUAUAGUCGGGAUGAAAGAAGGAAGAG
rnacentral:ncRNA from 2 species